rnacentral:rRNA from 1 species
UACGUAGGUCUCAAGCGUUAUCCGGAUUUACUGGGCGUAAAGCGUGCGUAGGUGUCCUAUUAAGUCUCGGUGAAAUCUCCGGGCCCAACCCGGAAACUGUCGGAGAUACUGGUAGGAUCGAGUGUGGUAGAGGCAGAUGGAAUUGAUGGUGUAGCGGUAAAAUGCGUAGAUAUCAUCAAGAACACCCAUGGCGAAGGCAGUCUGCUGGGCCAUUACUGACACUGAGGCACGAAAGCGUGGGGGAGCGAACGGGG